rnacentral:rRNA from 1 species
GUGCCAGCCGCCGCGGUAAUACCGGCAGCCCGAGUGCUGGCCGAUAUUAUUGGGCCUAAAGCGUCCGUAGCUGGCCGAACAAGUCCGUCGGGAAAUCCGCCCGCUUAACGGGCGGACGUCCGGCGGAAACCAUACGGCUUGGGACCAGAGGACCCGAGGGGUACGUCGGGGGUAGGAGUGAAAUCCCGAGAUCCUCGACGGACCGCCGGUGGCGAAAGCGCCUCGGGAAGAUGGAUCCGACGGUCAGGGACGAAAGCUGGGGUCUCGAACCGGAUUAGAAACCCGGGUAGUCC